rnacentral:rRNA from 1 species
GAUGCCUAGUAACGGCGAGUGAAGCGGCAACAGCUCAAAUUUGAAAUCUGGCUCUCUUGCAGGGUCCGAGUUGUAAUUUGCAGAGGGUGCUUUGGCGUUGGCAGCGGUCUAAGUUCCUUGGAACAGGACAUCACAGAGGGUGAGAAUCCCGUAUGUGGUCGCUAGCCCUCGCCGUGUAAAGCCCCUUCAACGAGUCGAGUUGUUUGGGAAUGCAGCUCUAAAUGGGAGGUAAAUUUCUUCUAAAGCUAAAUACUGGCCAGAGACCGAUAGCGCACAAGUAGAGUGAUCGAAAGAUGAAAAGCACUUUGGAAAGAGAGUCAAACAGCACGUGAAAUUGUUGAAAGGGAAGCGCUUGCCGCCAGACUUGCCCGCAGUAGUUCAUCUAGGCGAUUUCGCCUGUUGCACUCUUCUGCGGGCAGGCCAGCAUCAGUUUGGGCAGCCGGAUAAGGGUCUCUGUCAUGUAUCUUUCUUCGGAAUGACCUUAUAGGGGAGGCGUAGUACGGUUAGCCUGGACUGAGGUCCGCGCAUCUGCUAGGAUGCUGGCGUAAUGGCUGCAAGCGGCCCGUCUUGAAACACGGACCAAGGAGUCUAACAUCUAUGCGAGUGUUUGGGUGUCAAGCCCGAGCGCGCAAUGAAAGUGAACGGAGGUGGGAACCCCUCUUGGGGGUGCACCAUCGACCGAUCCUGAUGUCUCGGAUGGAUUUGAGUAAGAGCAUAGCUGUUGGGCCCGAAAGAUGGUGAACUAUGCUGAAUAGGGUAAGCCAGAGAAACUCUGGUGGAGGCUCGCAGCGGUUCUGACGUGCAAAUCGAUCGUCAAAUUUGGCAUAGGGCGAAAGACUAUCG